CUAUACACACACAGACUGCCCCCCCACAAAUACACACACAGAUUGAACCAUACACACACAGAGACUGAAACCCCCCACACACAGACUGACCCAUACAAACAGACUGACCCAUACACACUCAGACUGCCCCCCCACACAGACAAACUGCCCCCACACACAGAUUGACCCAUACACACACAGAGACUGCCCCCCUUAGCAGAAUGUACCAC